CCUACGGGUGGCAGCAGUGAGGAAUAUUGGUCAAUGGACGCGAGUCUGAACCAGCCAAGUAGCGUGAAGGAUGACUGCCCUAUGGGUUGUAAACUUCUUUUAUAAAGGAAUAAAACGAAGUACGUAUGCUUCUUUGCAUGUACUUUAUGAAUAAGGAUCGGCUAACUCCGUGCCAGCAGCCGCGGUAAUACGGAGGAUCCGAGCGUUAUCCGGAUUUAUUGGGUUUAAAGGGAGCGUAGGUGGGUUGUUAAGUCAGUUGUGAAAGUUUGCGGCUCAACCGUAAAAUUGCAAUUGAUACUGGCAGUCUUGAGUACAGUAGAGGUAGGCGGAAUUCGUGGUGUAGCGGUGAAAUGCUUAGAUAUCACGAAGAACUCCGAUUGCGAAGGCAGCCUACUAAACUGUGACUGACAUUGAUGCUCGAAAGUGUGGGUAUCAAACAGGAUUAGAUACCCUAGUAGUC
rnacentral:rRNA from 1 species